rnacentral:tRNA from 1 species
GGCCUAAUGGCCCAAUGGCAAGGCGCUUGACUACGAUUCGGUUCGAUAUCAAGAGAUUCCAGGUUCGACCCCUGGUUAGGUCAU